rnacentral:rRNA from 1 species
UCCGUAGGUGAACCUGCGGAGGGAUCAUUACAGAGUUGCAAAACUCCCUAAACCAUUGUGAACGUUACCUAUACCGUUGCUUCGGCGGGCGGCCCCGGGGUUUACCCCCCGGGCGCCCCUGGGCCCCACCGCGGGCGCCCGCCGGAGGUCACCAAACUCUUGAUAAUUUAUGGCCUCUCUGAGUCUUCUGUACUGAAUAAGUCAAAACUUUCAACAACGGAUCUCUUGGUUCUGGCAUCGAUGAAGAACGCAGCGAAAUGCGAUAAGUAAUGUGAAUUGCAGAAUUCAGUGAAUCAUCGAAUCUUUGAACGCACAUUGCGCCCGCCAGCAUUCUGGCGGGCAUGCCUGUUCGAGCGUCAUUUCAACCAUCAAGCCCCCGGGCUUGUGUUGGGGACCUGCGGCUGCCGCAGGCCCUGAAAAGCAGUGGCGGGCUCGCUGUCGCACCGAGCGUAGUAGCAUACAUCUCGCUCUGGUCGCGCCGCGGGUUCCGGCCGUUAAACCACCUUUUUAACCCAAGGUUGACCUCGGAUCAGGUAGGAAGACCCGCUGAACUUAAGCAUAUCAAUAAGCGGAGGA